rnacentral:tRNA from 1 species
GGAAGAUUGGCCGAGUGGUCGAUGGCAACUGCGUGCUAAGCAGUACCGGGUUAUUCCGGCGGAGGUUCGAAUCCUCCAUCUUCCG